rnacentral:rRNA from 1 species
GGGAGUAACGGUCGCCAAGAUUAACACUCNAAGGAAUUGACGGGGGCCCGCACAAGCGGUGGAGCAUGUGGUUUAAUUCGACGCAACGCGCAGAACCUUACCAGCCCUUGACAUCCCGUGACCGGUNCCAGAGAUGGGCUUUCCCCGNCAAGGGGCACGGAGACCAGGUGCUGCAUGGCUGUCGUCAGCUCGUGUCGUGAGAUGUUGGGUUAAGUCCCGCAACGAGCGCAACCCUUGCCUUCAGUUGCCAUCAUUUAGUUGGGCACUCUGGAGGGACUGCCGGCGGCAAGCCGGAGGAAGGUGGGGAUGACGUCAAGUCCUCAUGGCCCUUACGGGCUGGGCUACACACGUGCUACAAUGGUGGCGACAGAGGGCACAAGCGAGAGCGCGAGCUUUAGCAAAUCCUCAAAAGCCAUCUCAGUUCAGAUUGCACUCUGCAACUCGGGUGCAUGAAGGUGGAAUCGCUAGUAAUCGCAGAACAGCAGGCUGCGGUGAAUACGUUCCCGGGCCUUGUACACACCGCCCGUCACACCAUGGGAGUUGGUUUGGCCUGAAGACGGUGCGCUAACCCGCAAGGGAGGCAGCCGGCCACGGUCAGGUCAGCGACUGGGGUGAAGUCGUAANCAAGGUACC